rnacentral:lncRNA from 1 species
AGUGCGUACCGCCCUCGAACUCAUCGGUCCACCCACUAAGUCUACAGGGAUAAGCAGGAAUAGUAAAGAAAGCUGGAACAAAUCUACAGCUAAAUAUCGCUAUACUAUUAUGCUCUAACUUUAACCCUCUGUAGAACAAUGUCAACUCAGACCCAAUCUCAAAUAAGGACUGUAAUCAUACCCGUCUCUGGGACUGUGAACACACCCGUCCCGCCCGGUUUCGACUAUACAACUAUCUCCACACUAAC